rnacentral:rRNA from 1 species
GACGAACGCUGGCGGCGUGCUUAACACAUGCAAGUCGAACGAUGAAGAAGAGCUUGCUCUUCGGAUUAGUGGCGAACGGGUGAGUAACACGUGACUAACAUGCCCCUUUCUCUGGGAUAACGCUCCGAAAGGAGUGCUAAUACCGGAUACUCACAUCGAGGCACAUGCCUUGAUGUGGAAAGUUUUUCGGGAAGGGAUGGAGUCGCGGCCUAUCAGCUUGUUGGUGAGGUAACGGAUCACCAAGGCGACGACGGGUAGCCGGCCUGAGGGGGCGACCGGCCACACUGGGACUGAGACACGGCCCAGGCUCCUACGGGAGGCAGCAGUGGUGAAUAUUGCACAAUGGGCGAAAGCCUGAUGCAGCGACGCCGCGUGAGGGAUGAAGGUCUUCGGAUUGUAAACCUCUUUCAGUAGGGACGAAGCGAAAGUGACGGUACCUAAAGAAGAAGCACCGGCUAACUACGUGCCAGCCGCCGCAGUAA